UCAAACUCCAUCCAUAGCUUGUAGGUGGAAUCACCAUCAACCGGUGUUCUUCUAAACCAUUUUCCCACUCAAAGCACACUUAUUUUUCUCCUCUCCCUCAGCCUAUUUGAAGGUCGAGGAAGAAACAACAAUUUCUUCACAACCUCACAAGAUGGUGUUUCACAAGGUUUCUCCUACCAUUUGCAUUCUUCUUUCAGUUUUACUUCUCUUCCUCUCUCAGGAAACCCUAUCGUGGGAAUUCGUCCAAGUUGCUCCAUAUGAAGAUAAAACUGUGCACUUGGAUGCCCGGGUAUCUCCAAGCUGCUCCAAUCGGGCCCUUAGUAAGGUGAGGCCAUGCCAACCUCCUGCCCAUGUCGCCGGUUCCCCUCCCACCUAGUAAUCUGGGUGAUGCCCUAAUGUUUUGUCCAUCAGUUACUGGGAGAUUUAAAUGGGAACAACAAGGAAUGAUUUCCUCUGCCGUUGUUGUGGCUUCGAAGAGAAGACUAAACUAUGUUUUCAUGUAAUGAAUAAAAUAUGUGCUGCUUUCAGCAUAGGUAGAUUGGUUGGACUAAAAGCCAACCCCCAAAACCAUCCCCAUAUGAAUGAAAGGCCCCAUAUGUUUAUGAAAUAAGUGUGAUAGAUAUGAAUGAGAAAUCAUAUGUGAAAUCAAGAGAAAUUGGAGGCAUCUCCAAGAGCAUAUCGGUGAUAAUACAGACUUUGAAAUAAAGCCGAUUCCUAAUCUA